GCCACCAAAAUGUACCCACUCUCCUCUCUUCUGCUUCACUCUUGCCACUGCUCUUUGGACUAAAGUCUAACUUAUGGGCUGUGUCUGGCUUGGAAUAUAGUUGUUAAAUUAACGAGUGACUAACUAAGAGGCUGUGACUGGCUAGUGGGAGCAUAAAUACAGGCUUGUUUUCCAUUAGUGGUGUCUUGGCCAAAUGAGGCUGUUGGUCCUGUUUUUCCAAUAUCAUUAAUGUGGUCUGGUGCUCUCUUUGCUUGUAGAAAUGCACAGUUUAGUGGCUCUUCCACAGCUGUUCUUGUUCCUGACAUGCUGGCUGUGAGAUGUUCUCCACACUUCUGUGUGAGGGUCCUGUGUACCGGAACAGGAGUGAAUUAUGUACAGAUGGCUUGAGUUAAAUGCUUUAAAGAUAUACAGAAAGCUGUACUGGAACCAAAUCCUUCAUCACAAUUGUUACAGCUUAAUCUAGAUGUGCCCCCAAAAGCCUCAUGUGCUCAUAGGUGAGGAGUUUAGAAGGUGGGCAGAUUAAGGUGUGUGGAUGUGUGGAUGUGGAUUAAGGGGGUGGUGCUUGGAUCAAGGGUGUGGAUAAUGGAAGCCCCAACCUGGAUAUGGGUGGGACCAAUUAAUAGGCUUGUAGCCUGGAUGGAAUAUAAAGGGAGAGAGGGAAGACAGGUUGCUGCUGCUGCUUGCUGCCUUCUGCCUGUUCAGCCACACCAUGAACUGUUUCUUCUCUGCGAUGCCCCUCUGCCAUGCUGCCCCACUUUGGAACCAGCUGACUCUAGACUGAAACCUCUACCGACUGUGAUCCAAAUAAACCUUUCCUUCUUUAAUUUUGGGUGUUGGAUAUUUUGUCUCAGCAAUGAGAAAAGUAACUAAGACAAUAAUCAUCUUCAUCUUCCUCAUCAUCUUCCUCCUUUGCCUCAGUCUUUCAGUCUUGUCAGUUCCCUUUAUUGGCUCAGUAGGUAGCAAUAUCAUUUUUGUAUUUUUCCUUCAGCUUUGCAGCUUCUGUUCAUAAAGCUGCUCAUCCUCUGCAGCAGUGUCUUCCCAUCUCCCCCAGUUUCUUUCCAUCACCACCGGUGGAUGAGCCAGGAUAUUCUUUGAUUUGGGGGUGAUACUCAGAACAGAAAGAAGGCCAAAGAAGGCCUCUUGGGUGCUUUGGGAUCCUUGAACAUUUUUGUUAUUUCACUGUUAGGGAUGAUAUAAGUUUCCAUUUCUCUUUUACAAAAAGCUUUGUCCAUCCUUUCUAUGUCUUUAAAUUUCCUUUUCUUUUCAGAAGGGAGGCUCUCCCACUUCUUUCGGUACUUCUUAGAAGACUCUGAGAAAUUGGCUAAGUUCCUGCACGCUCCCUGGCACAGAGAUGCACAUGAGGACAUUUUGCUCCCAGCUUCCUAGGCUGUCCUGUGACCAUGUUUAGUUAUUUUUCCUCCACGAGACACAGUUGCCCAGUGCCUAUGCCACUAUCUCUAAGGAGUCCAGUGUACUCCAGCUCGCCAGUUUAAUGGCUAUUACUUUCAGUGAAGCUCAGGUGUUUGUAAAAAGCAUUGCCUGCCUAUCUGAGAAAACAUUUUAGAUUUGAUAAACAAUGGUGCCAAUAGAGGAGGCGUCAAACAAGAGUAGAGGAAAGACCAGUGGUGCUAGUUAUAAUCAAAAUGUCCAUGGUCAGUGUUUAGAGGCUCUGUAGAAAGAUAACAUCCUCAGACAAGGGUCAUUGUCCCUCGGGGAUCUCAGGACUUCUAAGCUCCUAAUCAUUUACAGAAACACUUUAAGCUACACUGUAACAUACUGUCUAUCAUGCCUGUUUCCCCUGUACAUUUGCUUGUGAACAUAAUCAAAAGUCAGAUAGCUACCAAGAUAUCUUGUGAUUGCCAUUGUUACUAUAAUAGUUUUAGAAAACUUAGGAUGGAAGCUAGGAACUAGAUUUGAAACUCAGUAGCCUGCAUGUGGUUGGAUGCACUCAGCUCCUUAUAAAAUGCUCCCAAACUUGUGUGAACAGAAAUCUCACUGAGGGCAACAAGAGUUCUCUUGACUGCUGUUCUCUAAACAAUAUUGGAAAGCAGAAUAAGAGUCUAUUCAGUAAUAAGCAAAUUAAUCUUUUUUAAUGGUUUUAAACAUUGGAAAUGCCACAUGUCUAAAAUCUUACCUAAUUUUAACAUUUGGUCAAUGAAUAGUGAUUGAGAACUUCUGAAGUGACAGCACAUCCAAAAUGAGUUUUGAAAUAUCUAUUUUUAGAACGUAAAUGAAAUCACAGGUCUUGAAAUUUCCAGACUUUCACUUUCCACUCUGCCUUUGGAACUUGAUGAUUUUAAUCCCAUUUAGUCUCCCUGAACAUUUUGCAUUUAUGCGCAAGACACAGCUCAAAAGUGUGCUCAUAUAAGAAUUCACCCCCAUCCACUCACUGUUCCUGCUCUCAGUCUGGUUGGAGUCAGGCACUCCCUGCUAGCCCCUGGACAUCGUGUAAUGACUGGCCUCUAUAGCUGUCCUUUUUCCCCCCCCAUUAAGUUUAUUGGUACAUUUUAGGUAUAAAAUACAGUUACAUUCAUCAUUGGGGUCUUGUACCAUUACAUGAGUAUCUUGGUUCUUAUUUUUUUCCCCUUCCCCUGCCCUCCCUUCACCCCUUCCAUUCUUCCCUAUUUGCAAAGAAUUGUUUCCUUUUUUUUCCUUUUCUCAUAUGUUUUCUUUUCCCUUCUUUCCUUUCUUCUACCCAUCCCACUUCCCAUGCUCAUUUAGACCUUUUCUUCCUAUUACACAAUAUCAAUUAUACUUUUUUAAAAUUACAAUAUCAAGAUCUAGGAGACAUUACCACAGAUUUUACAGAAUUUAAAAGGAUAUAGAAAGCAUAUUACAAAAAUCUGUUUUGAAAUAAAUUUGACAACUUCUAAGAAGUACCUUGGAAGACAAAUUAAUGAAACUAACUCUGGAGAAAUAUAAAAUUUGAAUACCACCUAUUAAAGUAUAUUCCUAGCUUGAAAACCUACUUAUAUGACAACAACAGGCUCAUAUACAUUUUAACUGAUAAAUUAUAUCAAACAUUUAAAGCAGAGAAAAGAAGGAACACUUCUCCCCUCAUUCUAGGAAAUCAACAUUGUACUAAUCCUAAAACUGGAUAAAGAUAAUAGAAGAAAAAAGCAUGAACAUAGAUAGAGAUUUGUUUAACAACACAAACUAUUAGAAGUCAGACCUGGCAGGAUAUAGAAAGUGGUUUUGUUAUAGGGAUGGCAGUGUUGGUUCAGCACUGGAAGAUCCACCCCCAAAAGUCAUCAUUUUAACAGAGGAAAGGCAAAAGCCAUAUGAUCCUGUCACUAGUUGGAGAAAAAGUAUUGGACUAAAUUCUUCAGAUGUUCAUGGUAAAAGCUAUCAGGAGACCAGAGAUAGAACAGAACCUUCUCAACAGAUCAAAGACAUGUACUUCAUACUUCCAGCAAAAACACUUUAUAUGAAUGGAGAAGAUACGAUGUUUUCUCCCUAAGGUGGGGAACAAAGGCAGAUAUGCCUACUCUUCCUCUGUCUGUUAAACUGUGAAACAUAGGCCCAAACCAAACUAGUCUGGCAAUAAAAUGACACAAUUAGGAUGGGAUUGGCAAGGUAGAAGUAAAAUCUUUAUAUGUAGAUGAAAUGAUCAUCUCCAGAGAAAAUACUAAGAAAUCUCCAGGAGCCCCUAAAACUUGUACUUGAAUUUAGCAGGAUUAGAAAACACAAGGUAUAUAUAAAAAUUCAAGUAUAUGUAUACUUGCUAUAAAUGAAGAAUUGGAUGUUGAAAUUUAAAAGUUAUGUAGGAGUACGAAGGACCUAGAAAAGGAAAAAGAAAAAGGAAAAAAAAAAACAGCGUUGGAAGACAUUUAGUAUCUAAUUUUAAGACUUCCUCUAAAGCCACAGUAAUCAAGGCAGUGUUGGUGUAAGGAAAGACAUAUAGAUCAUUGGAAUAAAACAGAGAAUCUAAACAUAGAACCACACAUAUAUGAUCCAAUGAGUUUUGAAAGAUUAUUUAACAUUAACAUUUUAUAGAAUAUAAACUCAAUUCAAGAGCAGAGGAAAAGAUAAUGUUUUCAGCAAAUGGCACUAGAACACCUGGUAUCUGUAUAUAAAAAAUUAACCUCAACUCUUUAUUUCCAUACAUAAAAAUAACUUGAAAGGUUCUGUGUAGCUAAAUAUGAAAGACUAAAGCUAUAAAACUUUAAGAAGAAAUUAUAAGGGAAAAUGUUUGUGAAUUUAGGGUAGGCAAGAAUUUCCUAGGAUACAAAAAACAUGAUAUAUAAAAGAAAACAAUUGAUAAAUGAGAUUCCAUCAAAGUUUAGAACUUUAAAUGACAUCAUUAAAAUGAAAAAUAGUCCUUAAACAGAUCAUAUUUACAAUGCAUAUAACCUAUGACCAGGAUAUAUAAAGAACUCUUACAGCUCAUUAAUAGACAACCCAAUUAAAAAGUAGACACAAGAUGAUAUAUAGCCAGUAUAGCAUAAGGAAAGGUGUGCAACACUAGAAUCAGAAAAAUACUAAUCAGUACAAUAACAAGAUUGAAUUAUACACUCCUUGGGGAGAUGAAGUUAAAAGUUUUAAAAGCCUUGUCAUGACUUUUUCUUUUUGUUGGAUUCUCUCCCUUUGCAUUUAAUUUGUCAUGCCCAAUGGAUUCAUUCUGCUGGGUUUCCUGGGGUUGUGAUCCUCAUUGUCUUUUCCUAGGAUAUUGUCUAAAAUUUUUUGGAGCGUUGGUUUGGUAUUCAUGAAGUUCCUAAGGUACUCUUUAUCAUGAUAGUAUCUUAUUUCUCCAUCCAUUUUGAAAGAUAGUUUUGCAGGGUACAUCAAUCUGGGUUGGAGGCUGUUUUCCUUUAGGGCUUGAAAUACAUCACUCCAAACUCUUCUUGCCUAGAGGGUUUGCUUUGAUUCUGAUGGACUUUCCUUUGUAUGUGAUUUGUUUCUUUUCUCACACUGUUUGUAGAAUUUUAUUCUUCUGUUGGGUUUCUGGAAUCUUAACAAUUAUAAGCCUAUGUGUAGAUUUUUUUGAUCAAGGCUAGUUGGAGUCCUAUAUGCCUCACUUAUCUGUAUGUCAGGUUCUUUUCCCCUCCUUGGGAAGUUUUCUGCCAUCACUUCUGUGAACAGUUUUUUUAUGUCAUCUGCGCUCUCACGUCUUUCUUCAUUGACUCCAAUCAGUCUUAUGUUAUUCUUCUUUGCAUCGUCUAGCAGCUGCUGGAUUGAUUUCUUUUGGUCCCUUACAAUUUUGAAACAAUUUUUCUUUUCCUGUUCACUAAUUGCAAUCUUAUCUUCUAUAUCUGAAAUUCUGUCCUCACAUUGGUUCAUCCUUCUGCGUAGACUUUCAAUGGAGUUUUUAAUCUCCUGGAAAUGUGUUUGCAUCUGUUUUAUAGAUUCCAUUUGUUUCCUAUAUUGCGAUUCCAUUGUGUUCCUCAGAUCCUCUAUUUUUUUUAUCUGUGCCCUCUCUAGAUUUAUUAAUCAUAUCUUGCACUAUGGGUACAAUCUCUGGUGUUAUCUGAGAAAUUAUUUCGGAUUUUAUUUUUUCCAGAUCCUCUUUUGUUGCCAGUUCAGGGAGUCCGGGUGGUUGAAUAUCAGAUUGUUCCAUCUCAUUUCCCUUUAGGGUUGCUGUAGGUGAUCUGGAAGUCUGGUUUUGAGGCUUAUUUACGUGUCUUCUCAUUUCCUGGGGGUGGGAGUGGGGGCAUGCUGCUGGCGCCCAUGCGGCUCACUCCUCUGGGCUGGGAGUGGUGGAAUGGUGGCUGGGGAGCCUCCUCCUGGGUGCUGGGAUUGGCUCACCUCCUCUGCUCUGGGAGCAGUGGAAUGGCAGCUAGCUGUAGCUAUCCUUUUGGCAGAGCUGUGGCAACCUAGGUGGAAGCUGCCAGACCUUUGAUCUCAGAACCUCCAGGGUCUAGUACCAUACCUGGCAUUCAAUGUUUGUCGAGGAGAUGAAUGAAUAGCACAGCCAGGGCAAAGCGUGUGUGCAGGGACAGUCAUGUCAAAAGGAGAGGAAAGGAGGGGGAUGUCCUCUGGAAAACUCCAAAGCGAGAGGAGUCCUGUCCCUGACUUGUCUCUGUUCUAGAAAAAGAGUGACAGCUGUGCACAGUGGCAUUCUUGGCCUGUGUCCCAUGUAGAGUCCCUUUAAAAUGAGGCUUUACUGGAAUUCUGAGAUGCAUGUGUUCUACCCAGGAACCUUCCUGGCCUUUUCCAACAUAGUCUGACAGGCCGAAGACUUCGUCUUUCUUAGGACUGUAGACAUAUCUUCUGUGGGGUGUGGCACGGGCAGGGGUCAGCAGGGCUGAGCAUCUCCACCCUACCCCUCCCACCUCCCCUCUCCCCCCGCACCCUGCCUGUCCACCGUCUGGAGGAUGAUGAGUCCCUCGCCCAACCCUGCCCUUCAGCUUCUCCCUGGGCCCUUGAGUCCUGCCUCUUGAAUUUCUAAAUGCUCUUUUCUUGCCUUGUCAUUCUUCCUUGGUGUUGUGCAUCCCUAAGGGGAUGAGCGCAGGGGUCCAUUGUACCAUUUCUUACAGUAUGCUUUUUGAGCAUUGCUAAUUUUUUCCAUUUGUAAGCCUUAAGCAGUAAUGUUUAAUUGCUACAUUAAGAGGAAGGAUAAAAAUCAAAGGAAAGGGAAUUUUAAAAUACCAUUGGCAAAAGAUUUAAAACCACCAAAUUAUCAAAGCAAUAAUUAAAUACAAACCAAAUUUCAUCUCUGUUAUACGAAUGCACAGGCAAAUGACAGACUGUGUCGCUGUCGGGGCUGACCCUUGAGAUCCAGGGAUCCACAGCUGCCACAGCCCCGCAUGGGCUCCCCUGCACCCUGCUGCCUUCAGCUGUGGCCCAGAUCCCUCUGGACUGUGGUGCAAAUGGUACAAAAAGUUGGGAAGGGAUGGUAAUGGAUCAUUGCAGAUUACUGAGAGAUGUUAAAGCCUGGAGGAGUCCUAGGAACCUCUCGGACAGAGGAAAGAGAAUAUUAGUGUGCAUGACAGUCCCAACUAUGUAUCAGUAGGCAGUUAGGAGACCUGUUUUCAUCCCAAUUCAGUUGCCAAGUGGCCCUAAUAGCCUUGUCCAAGCCUCUUAACCUGUGAUCCGUUCAUUGAUGAUAAAAGUCCCUAGGAGUGCUCGAAUUCAGCCCUUCUGUGAUCCCGUUGUCAGAGCACCCAGAAUGUGCUGCAGAAGGUGGAGUUGAAUGUACUUUUCAUUUCUCCCCAGUGGCCUCCAGUGAGACGCAAAAUGCAUAUAACUAUGUGAAUGAGAGGCAGAAACAAGUGGGGAAUGAAAAGCAAAGAGAAACAAAAUAAUAAGCCUAGAGGGAGAUUUAAUAGACUGUUGCAGGAGUAGCAGGAAAGAGUAGAAAAGCCAAUAGUCAGAACAUGAAGCCGGCCAUGCUGUGUGCUACUGAGAACAUCAUGGGUGGAGUGCAGGCUCAUGACUACAAGCACGAGUCCUGCCAGCCUCAGGUCCUCUCGUGUCCAUGUGUUCAUGGUUAUGAACCAGUACAUAUUGCACUGACAUUUCACUUUCCUUUUAACCACUCGUGUGUUCAUAUUACCUUUAGUUAUUUUGUGAAUCUAAGACCUCUUUAAAGAAAUACGUUAAGACUGUUUUCAACAUGAUAGAUGACAAACAGGAAUUGAUGCGGGUAGAUAUUAUUAAAAAAUAAUAUUAAGAAUGCUGAAACUGAGUUUGGUGCCAAAAGAUAUGGUGCUGUCAGUGUUUAAAAAGGAUGACUUAUUUUCAGAUUAUUAGUGAUUAAUUUUUUACAUAUUUUUCACAAUUUUUAUUAUUAAAAUACACAACAAAAUUCACUGUUAAGCAUUGUUAAAUGUGCAGUUCAGCAGCACUAAGUAUAUUCACAUUGUCCUGCUGUCAGAGCUGUGCUCUAGCUACAGAACUCAUGAUCUUGUAAAACUGAACUUCUGUCCCCAUUAAAUAAUAUCGCCCCACUCCCUGGUUUCCCAGCCCUGGAUAAAGCACUACUGUACCUUUUGUCUCUAUGAGACUGAUUACACUUACACCUCAUACCACACAUGAGCAGGAUCAUACAGUAUCCAUCCUCUCUGGCUGACAUAUUCACUUGCCACACUACCUUCAAGCUUUAUCUGCAUUUACCUCUUGUCAGAAUUUCCUUCCUUUUUAGGGCUGAAUAUCGUUUCUGUUGCAUGUAUUUACUGUGUUUAGCAUAUCCAUUCAUUUGUUGAUGGACACUGGGUUAUUUCCAUGUUUCAGCUGUUGUGAGUGGUGCUGCUGUGAACAUGGAAGUGCAAACAGAAUCACUAUACUGUUUUUCACAGUGACUAGUAUUUUAUGUUCACACAAAUAUAAUAUGAUGGUUCCAGUUUCUUGUCAACACUUGUUAAUUUUUAUUUCUUUUUUAAUUAAAAAAUUAUAGCAGUCGUCCUUGUGGGUGUGAGGUUGUAUUUCAUUAUAGUUUUAAUUUGCAUUUCUCUAGUGAUUAGCAAUGUUAAGCAUCUUUUUCCUUUUAUUGACCAUUUCUCUUCUUUAGGGACAUGUUUAUUCAAGGUUUUUCCCCUUUUUUUAGUCUUUGUUUUGAUACCAGGGAUCGAACUCAGGACCUUGUGGUUGCGAGGCAGGCAGCAGAACCACUGAGCUGAAUCCCUGGCCCUUUUACCCAUCUUGUAAUCCACUAGUGAAGUUUUUGAUGUUAAGCUUUAGGGGUCCUCUCUAAUGUCUGAAAUUAGUUCCUUAAAUAGAAACGUGAUUCGAAAAUAUGUUCUCCUAUUCUGUGGGUUGCCUUUUUACUCUGCUGAUAGUAUUUAAAAAAAUUUUUUUUGAGACAGUCUCACUACAUUGCUAAAUCAAAUUUGAAAUAAAAAUGCAUGAGUCGUAUAGCUUUGUUCUUUUUUAGAAUUGUUUUGGCUAAUUGGGUUCCCUUGAGCUUGCAUAUCAAUUUCAGGAUGGGCUUUUCUGUUUUUGAAAAGUAUGUCAUUAUGAUUUUGUGCAUAUGAAUUUUAGGAUGGAUGUUUCUGUCUUUGCAAAAAAAUGUCACUGGGAUUUUGAUAGAAUUGCAUUAAACCUGUAGAUCACUUUGGGUAUUAUUGAUAUUUUAUUAGUAAGUCUUCAAUCCAUGAACAUGAAUAUCUUUUAAGUGAUAUAAAUCUUCAGUUUCUUUCAGAAAUAUUUUGUAGCUUUCAUUCUACAAGUUUUUUCC
rnacentral:lncRNA from 1 species